GACGAACGCUGGCGGCGUGCUUAACACAUGCAAGUCGAGCGGUAAGGCCCUUUCGGGGGUACGACGAGCGGCGAACGGGUGAGUAACACGUGGGUGACCUGCCCGUCAGCGUCUGGGGAUAAAGCCUGGGAAACUCGGGUCGUAAUACCGGAUAUGACUCCAUGACGCAUGUUGUGGGGUGGAAAGCCUUGUGCGGCUGAGGAUGGGCCCGCGGCCUAUCAGCUUGUUGGUGGGGUGAUGGCCUACCAAGGCGACGACGGUAGCCGGCCUGAGAGGGCGACCGGCCACACUGGGACUGAGACACGGCCCAGACUCCUACGGGAGGCAGCAGUGGGGAAUCUUGCGCAAUGGGCGAAAGCCUGACGCAGCGACGCCGCGUGAGGGAUGACGGCCU
rnacentral:rRNA from 1 species